rnacentral:lncRNA from 1 species
GAAUGGCCUGAUUUGUACAGAGAAGAUAAGUUUAUCGUCAUGUUUGGUGGAUUUGCACAUUGAAAUGACUUGUUAUAAAACUCUGGGUGAUAUAUUGCGUGAUAGGGGAUGGGCAUGUUGUCUUACUGAAGCCAAUAUUGAAACACCAAGAACGGCAGAUUCUUUUUAGGUAUAUUCAAAUGUACCUAGGACUAGACAGGCGCAUCAGACAACUGCAUGUAUUUUGCUUAAACUGUUAAUUUCGGAUUAUGAAAGCUAAAC